AGAGUUUGAUCCUGGCUCAGGAUGAACGCUAGCGGCAGGCCUAACACAUGCAAGUCGAGGGGUAACGAUGGAGCUUGCUCCAGGCGACGACCGGCGCACGGGUGAGUAUCGCGUUUGUAACCUACCUUUAACUGGAAGAUAGCCCGAAGAAAUUCGGAUUAAUAUUCCAUAAUACUAUAGUUUGGCAUCAUUUUAUAGUUAAAGCUCCGGCGGUUAAAGAUGGGCAUGCGUAACAUUAGCUUGUUGGUGAGGUAAGAGCUCACCAAGGCUACGAUGUUUAGGGGGUCUGAGAGGAUGGUCCCCCACACUGGUACUGAGACACGGACCAGACUCCUACGGGAGGCAGCAGUGAGGAAUAUUGGUCAAUGGGCGAAAGCCUGAACCAGCCAUGCCGCGUGAAGGAUGACGGCCCUACGGGUUGUAAACUUCUUUUAUACGAGAAGAAACCACUCUACGUGUAGAGUGCUGACGGUAUCGUAUGAAUAAGCAUCGGCUAACUCCGUGCCAGCAGCCGCGGUAAUACGGAGGAUGCAAGCGUUAUCCGGAUUUAUUGGGUUUAAAGGGUGCGUAGGCGGAAGAUUAAGUCAGUGGUGAAAUCCUGCAGCUCAACUGUAGAACUGUCAUUGAUACUGAUUUUCUUGAAUACAGUUGAGGUAGGCGGAAUAUGUAAUGUAGCGGUGAAAUGCUUAGAUAUUACAUAGAACACCGAUUGCGAAGGCAGCUUACUAAACUGUGAUUGACGCUGAGGCACGAAAGCGUGGGGAGCGAACAGGAUUAGAUACCCUGGUAGUCCACGCCGUAAACGAUGAUUACUCGCUGUUGGCAAUACAUCGUCAGCGACUGAGCGAAAGCAUUAAGUAAUCCACCUGGGGAGUACGAUCGCAAGAUUGAAACUCAA
rnacentral:rRNA from 1 species